rnacentral:ncRNA from 1 species
GCAAAUGCAAAGAACAGAAUACGGUCAUUUAAAAAGAAGUACUUCAGAGAGCCGGUGGUUGGUGUGAACCGGUGUAUGGUUUGAAUGAUUAUCCUCUGCGAGCAGUGCACUGAAUUUCUUGUGAAGUGAUCAUAGAAAUGAUUAUGUUCGGAGAAUAGUAGGUGUCACCGGUUUUCUACCGUUACAUAGAAGCUUAUUUCCGGAAACAGAUUCCCGAGAUGAGACUAAGUGGUCGCGAAAACGGCAAGUAAAGUGGUAACGCGGAAGUUUUAACCUUCGUCUUUAUA